CAACCUCUCCCACUCUCUCUCUCUCUCUCUCUCUCUCUCUGCUCUCUUUUUAUACGUAGCGGUGUACGUAUGUAUAUAUCUGAUGUGUGUUUGUGUGGGUAUAUAUGUUUAUAUAUAUUUGCCAACGGCGAUUUAUCCUUCUUCCUCAUCUUGUAACACCCCCUUUAUCCGCUCCAUAACAUCUCACUUCCAAUUCACUCUUCUUCGGGUUUUUCCCUCUCUGUAACUCUCCUCUCCCACCCCCUUAUCUUCUCUUCCGGCAUUAAAGCACUAAAGGUGGAGCUUCUCUGUACCCAUAACCACUUUAACCGCAAACGCGGCAAACCCAGAUUCUAGACUGAUUUUGGCAGCGACGGAGAACACAUUGGCCUAGAUCGAAUGGCUAUUGAGCAAUACUUUGAAGACACUAUGGCUUUCAAUGAGUCCAACGGAGAAAA